UUUUAAUAAAUAAAUUCUUCCAAGCUCACAAAAGAAACUAAACAAACUCACUGAAGAUAAGCUUCACAAGCUGAAGCACUUCUGGCGAUUUUAGAAUGAUGGGGAGAACUGUUUGAAGCUAAGAAAGCCGAACUAUUGCCGUGUAAUGAGGCAAAUGAGUGGGGAGAUGAUGAUGAUGAUGAUGAUUGGAAUGAUGGAUGGGAAACGCUUGAGAAACCAGUAGAGGUCCUACUUGAAGAUAUUGAAGCAGAGAGCCUGACCGGAAUCUUGGCCAGGUGCUAACUUAAAAGUUGAUGCUCGGGGACCAUAUUGCUACAGAGAACAUGAUUCUAAAUGGUGUUGUAACUCAAAACCAAAACAGUGCCGAAGCAUCAAAGUAGAAUGUGACGCCAUUUGUAAACCCAAACGCC